CUAUCAUAUCCAUAACACCUGUGCACUUGUUGGAUGUUCUAAAGACGUAGGCUUAAAGCUGAAGUCAAUAGUCAUCCACUUACACUAAACAAUAAUGUAACAAAUGUAGUCUUAUUAUAACAUAAUAAAACUUUCAACAACGGAUCUCUUGGCUCUCGCAUCGAUGAAGAACGCAGCGAAAUGCGAUAAGUAAUGUGAAUUGCAGAAUUCAGUGAAUCAUCGAAUCUUUGAACGCACCUUGCGCUCCUUGGUAUUCCGAGGAGCAUGCCUGUUUGAGUGUCAUGAAAACCCUCAACCUUAGAUUGGUUAUUUGACCUUUCUUUGGCUUGGAUUUGGACGUUUGCCGAUGUCAAGUCGGCUCGUCUUAAAAGUAAUAGCUGGAUCUGUCUCGCGACAUGGUUUGACUUGGCGUAAUAAGUAUUUCGCUAAGGACAUCUUCGGAUGGCCCUGUUGCAGGACUAAAGACCGCUUUCUAAUCCAUUGAUCUUCGGAUUAAUAUUCAUAACAUCUGGCCUCAAAUCAGGUAGGACUACCCGCUGAACUUAAGCAUAUC
rnacentral:rRNA from 1 species